AUUGAACGCUGGCGGCAGGCUUAACACAUGCAAGUCGAGCGGAGUUGUGGUGCUUGCACCAUAACUUAGCGGCGGACGGGUGAGUAAUGCUUAGGAAUCUGCCUAUUAGUGGGGGACAACAUCUCGAAAGGGAUGCUAAUACCGCAUACGUCCUACGGGAGAAAGCAGGGGAUCUUCGGACCUUGCGCUAAUAGAUGAGCCUAAGUCGGAUUAGCUAGUUGGUGGGGUAAAGGCCUAACAAGGCGACGAUCUGUAGCGGGUCUGAGAGGAUGAUCCGCCACACGGGGAAUGAGAAACGGCCCAGACUCCUACGGGAGGCAGCAGUGGGGAAUAUUGGACAAUGGGGGGAAACCUGAUCCGGCCAUGCCGCGUGUGUGAAGAAGGCCUUUUGGUUGUAAAGCACUUUAAGCGAGGAGGAGGCUACUGGUAUUAAUACUACCGGAUAGUGGACGUUACUCGCAGAAUAAGCACCGGCUAACUCUGUGCCAGCAGCCGCCGCCGUAA
rnacentral:rRNA from 1 species